CGCAGCUGUAUUCCAGUCGACAGCCUCAACAAGCGCGACUUACUCUCGUGUUCUGUUCCUCGAGCUACUUGCAUUACUCUGACUGAGUAAGAAACAUGAGUUCCCAUGUGGAUGACCCCUACGAAUACCUGAACGAGGAAGCAGAUCGCUUCGUGAAUGGAAGCCACUCUGGCAAGCAGAGAUCGAAGAAGGAAGCUUCCAACCACCAGAAUCGACCGGAUCCCUCGGGUCAUACCAGAAAGAUUGUCACAAACAUGUCCAACCAACAGAGGAACUCCAACUCGAAGCCUUGAAUAGGCUUCACCCAUCGGUUGCGUCGGCGAGAGUGGACGAGUCAGAAGAUCCCGAUGAUGAUGUGGAGGAACCGAUUUUUGUCGAGAAUACUUGGGUAGUCCGCGAAGUUUAGUCAACACAUACUGGAAUGCCAGAUUGGGGAGUGACCGCCUAAGGGGUGUACGCACAGCGCUUCCCGAUCACUCUGCUGCCCAGGUGGGAGGAUCGCGGAGUCGAGCUAUGAUGUCGCGAGUGAGCUGUUUUCUCGCGAGAAGAAAAAUGUACAUUGAGAAUCCGUGUCCGAAAAUGGAGACACGAAUAGAAUUGUAGAACACGACGUGUCGUCCGCUACAGCUGAAAGCCGUCGCAGGAAAAAUGUACUGAAAACCAUGGAGCUACCCCGCGCUAAAACGCUUGCUCGGUGUUAUUAAACUGCUUUGUGACGCGAGGAAGCCAAAACACGGGAUGUAAUAAGCUCAAUAAAUACGGAAGCGUCCGGAA